AACGCGAAGAACCUUACCUGGGCUUGAACCGCUACGGACCAAGGGUAGAAAUAUCCUCUUCCCGCAAGGGACCGUAGUAGAGGUGCUGCAUGGCUGUCGUCAGCUCGUGCCGUGAGGUGUUGGGUUAAGUCCCGCAACGAGCGCAACCCUUACUCGUAGUUGCUACCCGCAAGGGAGAACUCUACGAGGACUGCUCCGGAUAACGGAGAGGAAGGUGGGGAUGACGUCAAGUCAGCACGGCCUUUAUGUCCAGGGCUACACACGUGUUACAAUGCAUGGUACAGACUGUUGCGAACCCGCGAGGGGGAGCUAAUCGGACAAAGCCAUGCUCAGUUCGGAUUGCAGUCUGCAACUCGGCUGCAUGAAGCUGGAAUCGCUAGUAAUGGCGCAUCAGAUCGGCGCCGUGAAUACGUUCCCGGGCCUUGUA
rnacentral:rRNA from 1 species